GGGUGGCAGCUUCAGAUGGGAGGACCAGACUUCCCUCUUCCCAGCCACUUGUGCCAACUCCUCCGGGGGAAUCCCAAGGCGUUCCCAGGCCAGUCGAGAAAUAUAAAUAAUCUCUCAACAGUGUCCUGGGUCUUCCUCUAUGUCUCCUCCCAGUGGUACGUGACUGGGACGGGUCCAGAAGGCAUCCAAACCAGAUGGCCAGAUCACCUCAACUGGCUCCUCUCAACAUGGAGAAGUAG